UUGCUACCAUCUGCAUCACAGCUUAACCUGCAUAUUUAGAAACAUACGCAGGGCUGAGUACCAAAAAGCACUCAGUGGUCAUGCCGAAAUAACUUUGAAGCUUGCUCUUAGAGCUAUAUAUUGAACUUGUCAUCUCAAACAUCACAUAGGAGUUUUAUUUAAAUAACCUGUGUAUGCAAAACUGUAAAACUUCUCUAUAAUCAUCAUAACAUCAUAUACGUCUGUAGACAAUUAACAUGUAUGUACCAUAUCUACGCAUCAUAUAACUCUGAGUGUUGAGAAGUAGGCCUCCUUCUCAAACACGAUGACAAACUAACUCAAAGGUUAACUGUCAACUAUGUGUACACAAAUCCUGACUCGCUCAGGACCCGAAUUCGUUCUUCUAUGUAGAUGGUAUCAUACAAAUCUCAAAUAUUGGCAAGUCAAUAAUUGGAAAAUAAAUGCAUGCACUCAAACUUUAUAUGAUAAAGUAUGCAUCUUUACUUCUUGAGUUAGUAAGCCCACCUGAUACGCUUAAUGAAAUAGAAGUAUUUGCUUGUUCAUUCUACACUGCCACUCGAACCUUCAUUAUAAUGAGGUUCCCAGGUAAGAUUGGAUAAUAAGUAAGUAAAUAGAAAGUAAAUCUUGAAUGAAACUUCUAUCACUUGAAAGUUGCAUCCUCUAAUCUGAGUAUUCUACUUAUAUGGACUUAACUAACUAAAAGCAAACAAUAACAUCAUAUCUCUUGGGAUAUCUCAAGUUGAAAAAGUAUAAGAGUAAACUAAUCCAUUCUAUAUAGAUUAGCUUACAAUUAAUAACUAAAACAUCAAUUCAAGAAUUGACCAAUGACUUAAGCAUAGUUUUACUCAACUAUCCCAAGUAAGUAACUUCAAAUAUGUAAUCAUAUAUGAAUCUCAACUUUGAAAUAUCAUAUAAAAUCAACCUCUUUAAAGAAAAAUACAAGCUUUACAUUUUUAGAAAUCACUCAAAGUCUAUUUUUAUUAGAAAGUUACAAAAAUACAAUACAUCAAGUGUAUGAGAAGUUAUAUCACAAAAGGCAGAAUCUGCCACUGAACUUCGCUGCUUCGCGCAGUACAUUUCAGAAACUCGUUUGACACAUCUAAUGGUCUCGGAUUAGCUGAAAUUUUGCAGAAACGUACUACUCAUGAUGAAGUUAUUACAGUAAAAAUUUCAAGUUAUUUGGACUAUGGGAACAUCAUCAAAAUCAUCCCGCAAGACACUGUUCUGUCAAGCUAAAAAUUGACAGCAAUGCAUCCUUUGUUUCAAUUCAACAUAUAACUCAUACUUUGGCCAAAUAAAAAGUGUAGAGACUCAAAUACAUGAUUAUAAUACAUACUAGGAUGCUUUAACUUCAAACUUAACUCAUGUUUAACACAUCAACAAAGCCAACAA
rnacentral:lncRNA from 1 species